AACGCACGAGACCUGCGGACCUGCGGAGGGAUCAUUACCGAGUUCUCGCCCCUCGCGGGGUAGACCUCCCACCCACUGUGAUCACUACCGUCGUUGCUUUGGCGGGCCGCUGGGCCCAGCCCACCGCCGGCUCCGGCUGGCGCGUGCCCGCCAGAGGCCCUACAAACGCUGGAUAUCAGUGCCGUCUGAGUACACAUGUUAAUCGUUAAAACUUUUAGCAAUGGAUCUCUAGAUCGGAAG
rnacentral:misc_RNA from 1 species